AGCGUACACGGUGGAUGCCCUGGCAGUCAGAGGCGAUGAAGGACGUGCUAAUCUGCGAUAAGCGUCGGUAAGGUGAUAUGAACCGUUAUAACCGGCGAUUUCCGAAUGGGGAAACCCAGUGUGUUUCGACACACUAUCAUUAACUGAAUCCAUAGGUUAAUGAGGCGAACCGGGGGAACUGAAACAUCUAAGUACCCCGAGGAAAAGAAAUCAACCGAGAUUCCCCCAGUAGCGGCGAGCGAACGGGGAGCAGCCCAGAGCCUGAAUCAGUGUGUGUGUUAGUGGAAGCGUCUGGAAAGGCGCGCGAUACAGGGUGACAGCCCCGUACACAAAAAUGCACAUGCUGUGAGCUCGAUGAGUAGGGCGGGACACGUGGUAUCCUGUCUGAAUAUGGGGGGACCAUCCUCCAAGGCUAAAUACUCCUGACUGACCGAUAGUGAACCAGUACCGUGAGGGAAAGGCGAAAAGAACCCCGGCGAGGGGAGUGAAAAAGAACCUGAAACCGUGUACGUACAAGCAGUGGGAGCACGCUUAGGCGUGUGACUGCGUACCUUUUGUAUAAUGGGUCAGCGACUUAUAUUCUGUAGCAAGGUUAACCGAAUAGGGGAGCCGAAGGGAAACCGAGUCUUAACUGGGCGUUAAGUUGCAGGGUAUAGACCCGAAACCCGGUGAUCUAGCCAUGGGCAGGUUGAAGGUUGGGUAACACUAACUGGAGGACCGAACCGACUAAUGUUGAAAAAUUAGCGGAUGACUUGUGGCUGGGGGUGAAAGGCCAAUCAAACCGGGAGAUAGCUGGUUCUCCCCGAAAGCUAUUUAGGUAGCGCCUCGUGAAUUCAUCUCCGGGGGUAGAGCACUGUUUCGGCAAGGGGGUCAUCCCGACUUACCAACCCGAUGCAAACUGCGAAUACCGGAGAAUGUUAUCACGGGAGACACACGGCGGGUGCUAACGUCCGUCGUGAAGAGGGAAACAACCCAGACCGCCAGCUAAGGUCCCAAAGUCAUGGUUAAGUGGGAAACGAUGUGGGAAGGCCCAGACAGCCAGGAUGUUGGCUUAGAAGCAGCCAUCAUUUAAAGAAAGCGUAAUAGCUCACUGGUCGAGUCGGCCUGCGCGGAAGAUGUAACGGGGCUAAACCAUGCACCGAAGCUGCGGCAGCGACGCUGAUGCGUUGUUGGGUAGGGGAGCGUUCUGUAAGCCUGCGAAGGUGUGCUGUGAGGCAUGCUGGAGGUAUCAGAAGUGCGAAUGCUGACAUAAGUAACGAUAAAGCGGGUGAAAAGCCCGCUCGCCGGAAGACCAAGGGUUCCUGUCCAACGUUAAUCGGGGCAGGGUGAGUCGACCCCUAAGGCGAGGCCGAAAGGCGUAGUCGAUGGGAAACAGGUUAAUAUUCCUGUACUUGGUGUUACUGCGAAGGGGGGACGGAGAAGGCUAUGUUGGCCGGGCGACGGUUGUCCCGGUUUAAGCGUGUAGGCUGGUUUUCCAGGCAAAUCCGGAAAAUCAAGGCUGAGGCGUGAUGACGAGGCACUACGGUGCUGAAGCAACAAAUGCCCUGCUUCCAGGAAAAGCCUCUAAGCAUCAGGUAACAUCAAAUCGUACCCCAAACCGACACAGGUGGUCAGGUAGAGAAUACCAAGGCGCUUGAGAGAACUCGGGUGAAGGAACUAGGCAAAAUGGUGCCGUAACUUCGGGAGAAGGCACGCUGAUAUGUAGGUGAAGUCCCUCGCGGAUGGAGCUGAAAUCAGUCGAAGAUACCAGCUGGCUGCAACUGUUUAUUAAAAACACAGCACUGUGCAAACACGAAAGUGGACGUAUACGGUGUGACGCCUGCCCGGUGCCGGAAGGUUAAUUGAUGGGGUCAGCGCAAGCGAAGCUCUUGAUCGAAGCCCCGGUAAACGGCGGCCGUAACUAUAACGGUCCUAAGGUAGCGAAAUUCCUUGUCGGGUAAGUUCCGACCUGCACGAAUGGCGUAAUGAUGGCCAGGCUGUCUCCACCCGAGACUCAGUGAAAUUGAACUCGCUGUGAAGAUGCAGUGUACCCGCGGCAAGACGGAAAGACCCCGUGAACCUUUACUAUAGCUUGACACUGAACAUUGAGCCUUGAUGUGUAGGAUAGGUGGGAGGCUUUGAAGUGUGGACGCCAGUCUGCAUGGAGCCGACCUUGAAAUACCACCCUUUAAUGUUUGAUGUUCUAACGUUGACCCGUAAUCCGGGUUGCGGACAGUGUCUGGUGGGUAGUUUGACUGGGGCGGUCUCCUCCUAAAGAGUAACGGAGGAGCACGAAGGUUGGCUAAUCCUGGUCGGACAUCAGGAGGUUAGUGCAAUGGCAUAAGCCAGCUUGACUGCGAGCGUGACGGCGCGAGCAGGUGCGAAAGCAGGUCAUAGUGAUCCGGUGGUUCUGAAUGGAAGGGCCAUCGCUCAACGGAUAAAAGGUACUCCGGGGAUAACAGGCUGAUACCGCCCAAGAGUUCAUAUCGACGGCGGUGUUUGGCACCUCGAUGUCGGCUCAUCACAUCCUGGGGCUGAAGUAGGUCCCAAGGGUAUGGCUGUUCGCCAUUUAAAGUGGUACGCGAGCUGGGUUUAGAACGUCGUGAGACAGUUCGGUCCCUAUCUGCCGUGGGCGCUGGAGAACUGAGGGGGGCUGCUCCUAGUACGAGAGGACCGGAGUGGACGCAUCACUGGUGUUCGGGUUGUCAUGCCAAUGGCACUGCCCGGUAGCUAAAUGCGGAAGAGAUAAGUGCUGAAAGCAUCUAAGCACGAAACUUGCCCCGAGAUGAGUUCU
rnacentral:rRNA from 1 species